UACAUCUUGCCACGCUCUGUUACUUGGUCGCAAUGAAAUUAUCAAGUCUUAUGCACUUUUCCGAAGCCAGGAGAGUACUCGCAUCAAUUACGGUAAACUGGUCAAUGCAUUAUUUACAAACAGAAUACGCACAUAGGAUAAGAAUUAAAUGCAGAAAAAUCCAAAAACAACGAAAGUAACUCUACACGUCGACCACGAGUUUCAGGUGUGCAAUCAGGUGUAACAAAGUCAAAGGGUUUAUAUACCAGGUACCCAUGUGAUGGUGCUUAUUUACGAGUGGUGUUCAGCGUUAAGAUCUCAGCCAAGGGUGCAAAUCUGAUUGAAGGAUGCUUUUUACUCAAAAUUACUGGGAAUAAAGUUUGAGAAUUUUAGAUGUCGAGUUAGAAAUCAAACUAGUGUUACUGGCAAUUUUGAAAAUAAAAAAUGAACCCGACAUGAUUACUAAAGAACAGGGGCGUACAAGGCGUUGUUUAUCCCCCACUCGGAGCAAUGAAGACAAAAGAAUUUCAAUUUAAGUUAGAAUAUUAGUUUUUGACUUGUAUGCAUUGUUUUUAUUAUAAAUUUCACGAUGGAAGUCAAUAUUGUGCUUUCAUUCUAUAAACAUGACAGAUAUAGACUUCCAUACUAAGCUGCACAUCGUUUUUUGCCUAAAUCUUGGACCAUUCACUGUUCUUAAUUGCAAAAUUAGAUGUGAAUGGGUCCCGACUCCAUCCUAAAAGUACUUUUAUUUAAAGAAUAAGCUAAUUUUGAUUUAUUAAGAUGGAGUCUAGACCCAUAAUUGGUCAAAUUUGUGACUUUCACCAAAACGUUUUACUUUAAUGAUUAUUGUCAAAGAGUUGGAUUUAUUCACCUGUACUUUAACGUGUUGAUGUAGCUCACUGUGAUAGGCGGAGGCUGGUAGUCCAUACUUCUCCAUGGGGAGUGUGUUCGAAUCAUAUAGACGGCGUUUUAUUUUUAAUUCAUUUGCUUCCAAGUAAAACAUGGUUUGCAUUUUAUUGGAUUAUUAUGAAAAAAUAAUCUUAAUACCAUUUAUAUAAUGACAACAAUUACGUAAUGUUCAUGUUCUGUACAUACAAUGUCUGAUAAAAAUAGUGCUAGCACAGAUAUGAGAUCAUGCUGUAAUGCUUAGAAAGCAUCAAAUUAAACAAAGGAGAUAAGUACAAAGUAUAUGCAUUAUUGUUUAUUAUAUAUUUGUCAGAGAAUGCAGUUCUAUAUUAUACAUGUUUCAAAUGUAAAUAUUUUUUAUAUGUUCAUAUGCAAUUUCAAAACCAUGGGUAUAGGGGAUUUGUCAGGCAUUGUACGCUCCUGUCCUUUGAUCACCUUAUGAAAGUAUUAAGUUGCAUCAAUAAAAAUUUGACUU
rnacentral:sRNA from 1 species